UCUGCGAGGCUGGUGUUGUGGUAA
rnacentral:siRNA from 1 species